GCCAUACAGCUAAAUCAAGCACAAUCACAAAAUUCGGACAGAUUGCCUUCUCAAACUGUGCAUAAUCUUAGAAAUGAAAAUUUUAGUGCCAUCACCCUGAGAAGCAAAGUCAGAUACCCACUAUGCCACCUCCUGCACCUGCACCUACAUUAACACCUACACCUGCUGAGCUUGAUAAAGAGGAUGAUCUUACUACAUUUAAAAGAAAAAAAGAAGAAUAGGCAGGUACAAGCAGGAAACUUCAUCCAGGC
rnacentral:lncRNA from 1 species